AGCAUUAUUUCCUGUUCAAAGCAAGGAUAUACCGUCAGUGGAAGCCAGCUGCAGUUUAAUGUAUUUUCUGUUCCGGCAUUUGUUUGACAUUGUGUUCCAAACUUGUUUCCCGAGCGAUGGAACCAUAGAAAGCUCUCCGGAGAUGUUUUGGGAUUAUUUGGUCGCGGCUGGACGACUGAGAAAAUCCGCGGGCUCUUCGAGAGAGUGAGAGACAUGGACAACUCUGUCACCCUAUGGCAGUUCCUUCUUCAGCUCCUGUUGGAUUCUAAUAAUGACCAGCUCAUCUGCUGGACCAAUGAGGAAGGAGAGUUCAAACUAUUGCAGGCAGAGGAGGUGGCCCGGCUGUGGGGAGCUCGCAAAAACAAGCCCAACAUGAACUAUGACAAGCUCAGUAGGGCACUCAGAUACUACUACGACAAGAACAUCAUAAAGAAGGUGAACGGGCAGAAGUUUGUGUAUCGUUUUGUGUCCUAUCCCGACAUCUUGAAAGGAGAUGUUGGCACCCGAGCAGAGAGCGGAGAUGUUGGCGCUGGGGGUGUUCCUCCCCUGUUGAGGAGGGAAGACAGCAGUGGACAGGAGGGUGAAUCAGGUGAUAGAGCUAAGGUGGGGGGUAGUACAGCAGCUCUGGGCUCCAGCACCAAGCAGUCGAACCGUAACGACUACAUCCACUCUGGCUUGUACACCUCCUUUACCCUCAACUCUCUGCAAAAUGGACGCCAGCUCUUUAAGUCCAUCAAAAUAGAGAAUCCAGCCGAGAAGAUGGCUGACAAGCGUGGCGUCACUGCCACCUCACAGAGCCUGGAGACAGUUUCUCAGCAACAACAACCAACCGCUUUGCCGUCAGUCAUCAAGUUUGGAAACGGCCCUCCAAAACCAGCACUCGCACCGCCUCCUCAGGUUGCCAUAGAGCCGACCCUGAUGCCCAACCAUUUGGAUCUUCUCCAGAACCCACCCCAGAUGACUGAGGACAUCGGCACACACUCCUCCCUGCCGCCCCAUUCUGUUUACUCAUUCGAACACAUCCGCCCAUCAGAACCAACGUUCACACCAGCGCUGACCUCAGCCAGUCCGUCCCCCAGCAUAGUACUCGACUCCUCCCAGGAGCUGGUGAUCGACAGCGACAUCGAGUCCAGAUCUUCUCAGCCCACAGAUGUUCCAGCACUGGAAUCCACAGACACUCAGGCACAGGACAAGGUGGACAGUGCCAUCGGUUUGUCAGGAGAUGAAACCAGUCUGGUGGAUGCAGAAACCAGUUCAUCUUCAGUGAGCAGCAGCACAACAGUCAGCACUCAGAGUAUGGGGAAGACACGUAAGCCACCUAAAGUCCUGCAGAUCAGCCCUCCAACUCUGCUGGUCACCGCCUCUGACUUCUCCCCCAUGAACCUCUGCAGCCCCUCACUACCGACUGCCUCUCUCACACCAGCAAUGCUACAGACUCCAACUCUUCUGUUGACUCCAAGUCCGCUGCUGUCCAACAUUCACUUCUGGAGCACGCUCAGUCCAGUCGCUCCGCUCAGUCCAGCAACACGACGCCAGGGAGCCCACCUUUUCCAAUUUCCAUCAGUUCUCACCCCUCAGUUCCAGAUCCCAGUACACAGCAUGGAUGGGACCAACACACCGGGCCCAAUUUCACCAGACCCUCAGAAAACAUAGACUCAACCCCCUCCUCCCACCCUCAGAAAGCCAGGCAACCCGUCCCCUCCAUCACUUCUUCUGCAUCUCCUGCUCCCACACUAAGGACAUUGAUGUGGGAGUUCUUUCUCUCACGUUGGUGCUUUGAAGUCUGCUGCCACAGAAACUCACACUACAAUCAGGGUCUGCUGCUGAGAAGCUUCCAUACAUCAUGAUGCUGCCACCACCAUGCUUUGCAGUGGUAUGUGAUGACCGACUGUCCACACGUGCAUGUACAUACACCUGAGCAGCAAUAACCUUAAGAUGGACUAACUCACUCAGGAAGCAGUGGUAGAGAAGGGCAGGCCACCCCUUCUACUGUCUAUCUACUGCUUGUGCAAGUAGACAACAUUAAUGAUUCUUCUUUAACGCUACCACUGAAUGUUUUCUCCCUUAAUCCAGAUGAAAUAUAUUUUCAGAGACUCAAAAGGAAGCAUGAAGACAGUCUGGACCAGAGGUAUUUGUUUUUUUCCCGUUAUUUGACAUUUUUCAUUUCAUAUUUUGCUAUUUGAAACACUGGUGCUCACCUGUCUGAUGGUUUGUGUGGAUGCGCUGGACGUAGAGGAGCAGCACGAACAGGCAGAAGCCAAUGAAUGAUGCUAUUGUGCAACACAACAGGAAGGAGUAACUGCCCUGACUGUGAAUCACCUGCACGGAGGGACAUACGAUCCACAAUAAUGAGAUAGCAAGUUAUACCAUCCUGUGAGGCAAAUAUAAAUAUUUCAAAAGACGUAAGAAAUGUGUAGAAAUAAGCCUGAAAAACCAAUAUAAAACACUGAAUGUGGAGGCACUGUGUUUAAGUGAGUCACGAUUGUGAUUAAAAACCAACCCAGGAAGCUCCACUAAACAUUUACUUACUGAUCCAACAAGCAGCUGCAACAUCAUCUCUCCUGUGCUGGCACUGGUCACCAGCACUGUUGUCGCACAACCUUGAACACACGACAGACAGACAAAUGUAGUAAAUUAACUGUACUGUAAAGCUCAAAACAGACAAAGACAAAAUGUAGAAAUGCAUAGAUUUUGUUUAUGUCUCUGAUUAAUGAUGCACUUUUGUUUAUUCAUUUCAAUUUUACCCUUUUGCCUUUUAUUUAACAUUUAUUUUAUUUAUAAAUGUAUGUAAGUAAUUUUUAAAGUGCCACACACAGUAUUUGCCUUACAGAUGUAGGAAUGUGUGUGUUUGUGUGUGUUACUUUACCUUUAUAGUCUAAUAUGUCCUCAGUGAAGGCCAGCAUGGAGGGAAACACACUGCUGAUGCACAGCCCCAACACACAGGUACCGAUGAAUAGAAACACACAGCUGGUGUAGAAAAUCAACAGUAGACACUGGACCACUAUGACCCCCACCUGAGAGGAAAACACACACAGAGCACAAAAUUGAACUUGAACAAAAGCAUCCAUUUAUUUUGUUAACCCAAAAGUAACAGCAGUAGAAUACAAGUUGUGCAGCUAGUCUGAGUGACCGGAUGUAGACUGCCUGCCGUUGGACGCUCAUGUUCGACCACUUUCCCUUCUCCUUCUGCUAUCUACAUGUUGCUAUUUUGAAUAUCCACUCCACUAUGGGAAGCAGCUGCCUCUGGUCAGCAACCUGUGACACUGAAAGGCUUUGGCUCCAGUUUGCCUGCCCUGCUCGGGUUUUUUUCCGAUGGUUUGUCUGUUUUAAUCACAGUGCUCAUCUCCCUGCAUGCAGAUUCCACCAAUUUUGAGAGAUCGUCGAAGGUGAAUACUUUGCUUAGCCAAGACUAUUGUGUCUUGGUUUAAAGCAAAUACAAAUAAGUCAGAGUGUUUUUUACCCUAUACCAGGAUGAUAGUGAGACAUUACAGAAUGGGCUGUCUAAAUGACACUACCAUUGAUUUUCAUUGAUCAAAUUACCAUUUGAUUCCCACCAUCCAGUGGAACAUAAACUGGGGGUCAUCAGAACCUUAAAGCACCGGGCUGAGAAUGUUCCUUCCAACACAGAGGGGAAGGAGAAGGAGUAUUCUCACAUCAGGAAAGCACUGAGGAACUGUGGCUACCCCAACUGGGCCUUCUUCAAAUCCACAAAAAGAUCUUGGAAGCACAACACCACAACAAACAGUGAAGAAAACAGGAGGAGCAACAUUGUUUUUCCAUACAUAGCUGGAGUAUCUGAGGAGCUCAGGAGAAUUUUCUCCAAACACAACAUCCUGGUGUACUUCAGACCCAGCAACACUCUAAGAAAAAGACUGGUUCACCCCAAGGAUUAAAAAUCAACACACCAGUGGAGCAAUGUUGUAUAUGCGGUCCAAUGCAGCGAAGAGUGCACAGACUUGUACAUAGGCGAGACUAAAGAACAGCUUCACAAGGCUCAACACAGGAGAUCCAGCUCCUCAGGACAAGGUUCAGCAGUUCACCUGCAUCUGAAGGAUAAAGGACAUUCCUUUGAGGACAGCAAUGUCCACAUUUUGCACAGAGAAAAGAUGGCUGAAGAAACUCGUGAAGGAAGCCAUCUAUGUCAAAUUGGAACAGUCAUCUUGAAACUAGGGCUGGACCCGAAUAGCCGAAUAUCUGAAUAUUCGGUCGUUGUGGUGGUAUCCGAAUAUUAAUUUUGAGAUCCAAAUACUCGGACCACCCCCCCCCCCCCACCCCACCCCCCGCUGUAUCAUGCGGAUCUACUAACCCUGACAUCACGCUUCACUUUGCCUGUGUUAGUAAACAGAAGGCAAAAGCCGAAGAUGGAGAUAUCCAUGCUGAUGCUACGCUAGUGCUGUCGGACUUCCCCCUCCGCCCCCGGCUCGGCGGCCGACGAGACGAAUAUUCGGAUAUUCGUCAUUAAUUGGGCCUGAAUAUCCGGAGCCCAGAAAUUGCUAUUCAGACCAGCUCUACUUUAAACAGAGGAGGGGGUUUGCGACAUCACUUAUCAAACACCUACAAUGCAGUCAUUAGAUCUCUCCCCAAAAAGUUUCACCAUCACAUCGUUUCACCCCUGACUUGGCAGAUCCACAUUCUUUAUUGUGUAAACUGGUACUCCCCAUCACCAUGAUUGCUGUUGUUGUUGGUGGACCACCUGAUUUCACAACAAUUACACCUAGAGGCAUGUUAGUCCUGGGUCGUUAAUGGACCAUUAGCCAUAUGACCUGGAGUGACUAUAUAUUCUGAUACUCCCCAUUAGUGAGUUAGAGCUGAAGAAGCCUCUUGGAUGAAAGUGAAAUGUCUUCAAAAACCUAAAAGAGAAGUCCAGUUGAGUUUUACUGAAGGCCCUACUACCAUUGCACAGACAAAACGUAAUCAGCUUUGGAACUGCUUGCUAAUGAGACAGCAGCACUGAACCACAAGCUACCUUGUGAUCCCAGCCUGCUUCACAAGAUGAUCAAACCCCAGGAUUAAAACUUAGUCCUUUAACUACUUAAUUAAUGCUCUCCCAACUGAGCUACAGUGUUUUGCAUUUAAGAGCCAUGACUACAGAGACCAAGAGGUGCAAGAAACUGGAACAUUUUCAAAAGACAAAUCACAAUUUCAAUAUAAUUUGUGGUGGCCAACAAGCACAAAACAGAUUAGCAUUCUAUAGCUUAAUAAUCAUCUAUAAAUAAGAAAAGAACGAUUAAACACUCAUUGCAUGGAGGGGAUGUUGCAAUGCUGGAUUUAGAAGGUUACACUUACUAGACAGUGCAAAGCUGAAUACAGCUUUGGAAAGCCUUGCUUAAGAUUCACACCAGACAAUAUUAUCCAACUGCUGAAACCCAGGACUUUUAUUGUGCUUCCAGCUGAGCUAUUUUAGCAGAUGUAUAAAACGGAGCUACCCACAGCUGACUGAUAAUGGUGUGAAGUAGGUGUGAAUGGGAGCAAAAAAAUUGUGAAACUGAGCUAAACAUUGAUUGUCACUUUAGUAGCCAGGCCAGGGUUUACAUAUCUCCAAGUAACUGUUGUUUAAUUUGAAUGAGUGUGUAACAGAGACAGAUGGAGUCCAUACAACAGAAAAGCAGUUAAAUGUCAGUGCUCUAAUUUGGGUUCUGAAAGUGCCUUAAAUAAAUGUUAAGCAUGACAGCAUUUAGCUGAAAGAUGUAAGUUUGUGUACUUAGACAAUGACCCUCCUCUCAGUGGUGCCACCUAAUCUCAUCAUUUGCAUCCACACCCAGUUCAAAUAUUUGGUUUGAAUGCUUUGCAUUAGCUUUUAUUACUUCCACUAGAAAACACUACUUAGUGUGACACAGAAAGCCUGACGUUCACCUGUUGAGCUCAACUCUUGAUUUCAAGUACUGUAUUCAUUUUAGGGUGGAUUUGUCCUUUUGAAUAUAGAUUCAUACCAGACUGAAGGUGAGCAGCCUGGGUGGUGUAUAUCUGUAGGAGAGGUACAUGGAAGCCAGUCUUCCUGCUGUGAUGGAGGCCCAGAAAACACUGUCCAGACAACCAGCCGUCUUAUGGCCCAUCAGCAGAGGAGGCGACACGGCGUAGGUGUAGACGAAGCCAGCGUAGGAGCCCUGCAGGACGAGAAAGCCAGAGGUUUAGCAAGAGCAGAGGUCUAGAUAUUUGAUAAUGACUUUUGAUAAUGCUUUGCUGGUUGCAAAAACUCAAGUACACAGUAAUGUUGCAAAUGUCUUCAGUGAAUUGUACUGCGGAAAACAUUUUUUUAGCCUAUAUUUGCCUACAUUUUGACAAGUCGGUAGCUAUAAAUGUAUGUCAGACAUGCUUGUUCGGUUCUUGUUUUUUUCUUUCUGCCUCAAAUCACCAAAUGCCCUACGCCCAACCAUUGUCAACCAUUUUUUAAAGUGGUGACUGUUGGUUAAGUUGGCCAAUGUGUAAAAUCUGGGGUCAUAGAUAACAUUAGAUUGUGAGAUAAAAAAAUCUUUAAAAAGGUGGGAUCAUGUUGAUUUUUGCAUCUUUCCUCCCACCAACUUGUAGAUCAAUGUUUGAAGUGCCAUAACUUGAAAAAUAAUGUAGCUAAAACUCUGAAGUUUUGCAAGCUCAUUGAUAUGUACAUCUGAUCUUCAAUGGUCAAAUCCUGCUUUGAUAGAAUAAUACAAACCUGUUAUAUGAUGGUGCAAAUUUGUUUAAAAAAAUAGUCUUUUUUUUUUUUUUACCAUCAAUCAUAAUACCUACAUUUUUCCCCCUAAGAAGUUGAUUGUUUUCCCCUGUGAUUGGCACCAAUAAGAAUUUCAAAAUAUAGAAUAUGGUGCCAGUCAGAGGCAACAAAAAAUUAAAAUUACGUUUUUUGCAUCGGUGCCAAAUAUUUGAACAUGCGUUGAGCAGGUAUGAUAGUAAAACCUUUCCAGCAAUGGUCCCAACUGAAAGAGUUAUAUAUUGUUAUAACUAUAUAAUAUUUAAUAAUAUUGUUACUGGGCUAAAAGAAAAAUCAUGAUUUCCAACACAUAGUGCUUGAAUUAAUUUAGUGAAAAGUGGUACCAUAAGCAAUGUCAUUCAUGUUUAUGAUCUGUCUAUGUUACCUUGGUUGUGAUUUCUUUAUCAAGAUCUGUCUUAAUUCAUUCAAGUUGACAUUCAUAACUUUUUCAAAAAAUCUAACAUUGAAAAUCAGGCUUGAACGUUUUCUAAAAUUUGGUGAACUGAGGUGGAAUUGCCCAUUAAUUUACAUACAACUAUCACUCCUUUGAUAUGGAAGAAAACAUGAAAAUGUGUUGAUUUUCAAGGGAGUCCAAGAUUUUUUUUCUAUGAUUUCUAAGCAUAUUUAUGCAUUUUUAUUUAUAGGUAUCAUUCAUUCUCAGGCAGACAAGGCCACAAUGAAAUCUUAAAAUAAGUGAAAAUUUGACCUAGUUUUGACUCAACUUUUGGCUCUGAGAAUGAGUGGUAUUUUUGAUGCAGCCUUCAGUCAGUCAUAAUGGGAUUUUCAGUAAUUAAAUUGCUGACAGUGGCCUCCCUACCCCUCUUGAGACUCCUUGGACCUGGACUAUAGUGUGUGUGAGUGUAGCAUUGGCUGGGAAGCUCACUAUAAUUCCAUCGGUGAUGAAGAGGAUAGCUCCACCCAGAGUGUGGAGGAUGAAGAAAGUAGCAGGGCGACCCCGGAGUUUGGAAGGGUGACAGCAGCUAAACACAUUCCUGUGUUCUGUAGAGACAAGGAAACUCAGAGCUCUGUCAUUUUAUUCAAACAGAGAGGUCACGAGCGAACAGAAACAUGCAAUACCUUGGUCACCGUCCUCAGCAGAGCUCGAGCUGGACAGAGACUCCUUGUUGAGCAGACGUGGACUGUUGUUGGAACAAGGCAACAACCUCUCAUGAUACAUCAAUGCGAGCACUGCUGCUGGAACAGGGAGCUGCCAAACACGCAUAAAGAGUCUAUUGUCCACCAAGUGAGCAGGCAAAACUUCCUGUCAGCUGAUUCAGUUUGUGAAACCUCAUGUCAUAAAAGUGGAGUCCAGGCUGUCUUAUCAGGUCAAACAGAUCCUGCUCUGGAAGCUUAUUGUUUUAUCUAAGCGGCUAUAUGACAGCUGGUAGCCGUCUGAAGAAAUGCAAAUAAUUCUGAGAAGGGUAAACUGUAUGUCAUUAUGACAUUUAACUCUAUUUGGUCAGUUUUCGUGUAAAAUUGCUGCAUGGAAAUUCCAGCCAUUAGAUACACAAAUUACAUGAGCUUAAUCAAAGUUUUGCAGAAGUAUUUUUCUGCAAAGAUUUACUUGGAUAAAAUGAAUCACUGUUGCUAAGUCUUGCUUUCUUUCUUGUCGGUCUGCAGGUCCUAGAAACCCUCAGCAUCACCAGCUAAUUACAUAUUAUGUAUAAAUGUUACAUUUAAUUACACACUUUGCUGUUUUAGUGCUACGAUUUAAAGAUUGCACUUAUUUGUCUAUAUAAAAAUGAUUAUAUUCUAUAGCAUUUUACUGCCGUCCAAACCACAGAGCAGGAUUUACAGUGAAACAGGUAGAAAAAAAUGGGCUGCAUUGUAAAGGUUCUCAGCUAAAACUCUAUAUAAGUUGUAAAAGCAAUGCGUAAACACUGUGUUUUGGCUUUUAGGGCACUAUACUGUAGUAUUAUCUACAUAUAUGGUACAUUCAGCACAGACAUGAACUCACAUUGAUAAGAGCCAUGAUCCAGAAGGCGUAUGACACUGUGGUGACGAUGACGCCCUCGGUGUGCAGAGGAUACUGGGAGAUGUUGUGCAGUGCAGCUCCAUGUCCGGCCAGAGUGCUGCGGAGAUGCUGCAGGUCCGAGGAUGAGUUGGCCGUCCAGUUGGCUCCCAGGACACAGUUAUCAUCUGACAGGAAAGGAUCAGCAACCAGAGGGCUGACCAGAGCUCCCAGACCUAUGAAGAAAUGUAAAGCCUGGGGACAGACAAUGGAUGUAGAUUAUGGUGUCUGGUCGCCUGAGGGCCUUAAAAAGGUUAAAGAUCAUUGGGCUGGGUUGAAGGGCAAACUUAAGUGUAUGAUUUUUACACGUAUUUUAGCAAAUAAUAAUAAUAAUUUAGUUUUUGUCUUAUUUAAAACUGAAACACUGUAAUUAUAGAAUGGAUCUCUUCAUUCAUGUUAUCUAUUGUGGGAUAAAAAAUUUAAAGAAUAUCUUACAGGCAGGAUCAACCAGAUAUGUAUCCAAGUAUAUCACUCAUAAUGACAAACCUACAGAGAAGCAUUGCCUAAAUGUGCAGCUCCCCCUGGCUUUACAAAGCUUCUUACUUAGUUUAAAGCUGCUUUAAUCACUGCAGUGCUCUCCAACAAAAGCACACAUGUUUGACAAAUAUAAUCUUACUAUUUAAACAAAUGAUGGUGUGUUUAGACACAGGACAAAGUCAAAGGACACCAGACUAAACCAGACAAUAUGAUAAAUCAAAAUGACAAAUUAAUCGGCUUAUAAAAGUCAGUACAAAGGAUAAAGGACCCAUUGUUCAUAUGAAAAUGUUGAAACUGUUCAACUAUCUUAUUACAACAAGCUUGACGUGUUUUGUCACACACAAUACACAGAUAUAUUCACAUCUCUCUGACCUGCAGGAAGAUGGCGGAGUCCUUCUGGUACAGCUUCACCAACUGCAGGUUGGCGAUGGUGUCGAUCACCCCCAUGGCUAUGCCAGCCAGCCCCAUGGCAACGGACAGCAGUACCACAUUGUGACAUAGUGGUAUGAUGGCAAACACAAGUGAGAUGAGGAGAGUGCAGGAGAAGAGGGCCGACAGGGAGGACAGGAGGCUGGAGAAGACACAGAAAUAACACAACGCCAUCAGUGUUAUGCAGAAUAUUGACACUGAAACAUAAGGAAGAGGUAUCUCUGAAUCUAGAGCUACACGUCUCUAAUCUCCAGUCACUGGCCUCACCAAUCUCCAAAGUGUUUACCGUUCUCUUACGUAUUCUUUGCCUGUUCUCUAUCUCUUAUCCUGCCCUUACCCUAUUACUAGAGAAGCCAUAGUUGCCAAUGAUUAGGCCAAAUACUAUAACAAUUCUGUAACUACACCCAGAUCAGCUAGAACAGGGUAUUUCCAGCUUGUUAUUGUUUCAGUAAAGUCACCUUGAUGCUCCUGUGUUCCACUAACUUUUAUUUACCCGUUAGUUUUAUCACAGCCCUCCAGUCGUACGGCCUCAUUACACCUCCACGCUGCCCUCACCUUGUAUUCAUUUAUUUCCUGCCAACUUUCCACUGUCGUUUUAACCUUGUCCCAGUUAAUACUUAAUAAACUAUGAAGGGACAUUCACCAAGGACCUGUAGAAAAACAUUCAGCUGAUCGGCCGCCUGUAAAUAACCAGCAGUGGGUGAAAACCAAUUGUAAAUACAGUCAUAAUGGUUCAGCCUUUUCUGAGAAUAUAACAGCUUACACAGCAGAUGUCUUUUAACAUCCAGAAUCUGUAUCAAUUGCAUUUAUAGGAGUUAAAUAGCAUAAUCGAAGUGAUAAUGAACACUUCAGAAUGAUUCAACCUGUAUAUAAUGUUUUUUUUAAUUGCUUAGUGGUAUGUAAGGCUACCAAACCAAUGCAAAAUGUAUGAAGGUGUUUGAGAAUGACACUGAAUGAGUUUCAGUAUAGGCAUAAAUCCAAGGCUCUUCAACCUCAAAGACACACAAUUGUGGAGUGUUCAGGAAAGACCUAAGUUUGAGGAAAAACUGUAUUACCACAAUUAACCUUCAGGUUGCUAUCUUCUUCAGGCACGAACCAAAGUAUCAGAGCAGCCUAUUGGAAGAUUCUUCACCAAAGUCAUGACGUUCACUUGAACAUAGAAAGAAAAUGUAGAUUGGCAAAUCUUGGGGAGUUUGUUGUUGCAGGAAGCAAUUUGCACUCAUGUAUGUUCUGUUAUUUUGGAGACAGACCUGAAAAAAUCCUUACAUUUGAAUGCACUUUGGCUGCCAAAUUUAGAAUUCAGUCAAAGGUGUCACUGUGGCUUUUUUUAAAUCCAUAUUUUUGAUCAGUCACAUAAUAAUUAAUAAUGAGGUCAAAUGUUCAGAUUCCUCCAGCUGGACCCAAUACCAAAUGGAAUUUCUGACAAAUAAUGAACCAAACAAUCGCAAAAAUCCCCCUUUUUGAUUGCCUUUCUGUAUAUUUUACUGAAUUAAUGCACAAUCUAUUUAUGUUGCCAUGUGUCUAGUUUUAGCAGAGAAUACAGAAAAAUAUUUAUUUACAUGUAAAUGUUUUAUUUUAUUUUAUGUUUUGGUCUAAAAAACGGUUGUGAAGUUGCCAGAGAUGUUACAUACCCUUGAUAUCCACAAUAGUAGCUAUUGUAUAUUGUAUAUUAAACCUCAUUCAUUUGAAUGAGAAAGUGUGUCCAAACUGUUGUCUGGUAGUGUAUAUCCUGUAUAUUUUACUCUGAUCUAGUGCAGUCUGAAGUUUUGCUAGUUACGACACUGUACCAACUUUACAGAACAACAGUGAAUAUGAAUACGUAUUUUUUUAUUAACAAAUACAGCAAUAUGAAGGAAAAUAAUUUUGAAUGACACAGAUUUUUACCUGGGUGUUUUUUUUAAUCAAUUUUUGAUUGUAUUUAUUGUUAUUUUGACCUGAUUUAAAACACAGCAACUUUAAAUAUUUCAGUAACUCCUCUCUUUGCCACAUAGAAAUGAGCAUAAAGCAUUUCUGUUACAUGUUUUUAAUUUCAUAUGCACUUUGCAUUAAAAAGCAGAUGUUCCUUUGUUUGCAAAAUAUCACAGAUUAAGAACUGUAAAGUAUGUUAGCAAUAUUAUUAAAGUAUAAGGCCAGUUAGGUUACAGUCAGUCCAGAGUGGGCUUUGUGAAUGUGACAUGUUUGAAGCUGCGCAUAAUAAAUGAAGUAACCUCUGCUG